GUCAUGAGCUAUUUUUUAACCCAAAUUUGAGGAUUUAGGUCAAGCUGAACCAAAGGCAUUUACAUCUAAUUAGGAAUUUGUUGGUCAAGCACCUGCUGUACAUAGAACAACAAUCCAUUACAACUUUGACUAUGCCGAGCAGGUCUUCUACCCAUACUAGGCACAGCAAGAGUGCCCUGCUUUGAAGUGUUCUGUAAAUCAUAUGGUUCACAGAUUAUCAGAUACCUCAGUGAUAAGUGUUUAGCUGUUAUGUGGCCAAUGGUGGGUACCUCAUUUUCAACAUCAUCCAUAUAGAGAAGACUCUGCAUACCUGCACAUUGACAACUUUGUUGGGUGGAAUAAAAACAAUACAGUCAUUGGGGUCUGAUGUAUUCUGAAGGGAGAGAAACAGCAUUUAAUACUUAAAUGGAAGCAGGUGACAUAAAGUUCAGUCCUGUGUGAGAUUUGGUCUGUGGAAGACCAAAUGGAGGCAGCACACAUCCUUUGUGGAUUGAUGACCUUGGCAAACUGGUUAUAUUCUUUGACUGGUUGGAGUACACCAAGAGACCCCUGAUGUCCAUUCCAAACUUGAGGAAAUAUCAUCACUUCAGAACUUCAGCUGACAACCCAGUGAGUGAAUUCAUGAGAGAGCAUGCCAAGGACAGUGAGAUUGAAGUUAAAAUUGACAAGCCCACAACAAUGGCUUUUCCAUGGAGAGUACCCUGAACCAUCCAACUAAAAGGACUUGAUGCAAAAAG